rnacentral:rRNA from 1 species
GAUGAACGCUGGCGGCGUGCCUAAUACAUGCAAGUCGAGCGAACAGACGAGGAGCUUGCUCCUCUGACGUUAGCGGCGGACGGGUGAGUAACACGUGGAUAACCUACCUAUAAGACUGGGAUAACUUCGGGAAACCGGGGCUAAUACCGGAUAAUAUAUUGAACCGCAUGGUUCAAUAGUGAAAGACGGUUUUGCUGUCACUUAUAGAUGGAUCCGCGCCGCAUUAGCUAGUUGGUAAGGUAACGGCUUACCAAGGCAACGAUGCGUAGCCGACCUGAGAGGGUGAUCGGCCACACUGGAACUGAGACACGGUCCAGACUCCUACGGGAGGCAGCAGUAGGGAAUCUUCCGCAAUGGGCGAAAGCUUGACGGAGCAACGCCGCGUGAGUGAUGAAGGUCUUCGGAUCGUAAAACUCUGUUAUUAGGGAAGAACAAAUGUGUAAGUAACUAUGCACGUCUUGACGGUACCUAAUCAGAAAGCCACGGCUAACUACGU